ACUGACCAUAUCACCACACAAUUAUUUUGAUCCUUGCAUAGCUGAAAAUGUAUGAUUCCCUUCUCAAUCUAAGUAAACAAUCUAUCAGUCUACUUAUAUCAUGAAUCCUAGUUAUAACGACUUAAAUUUGAUCUGUAUUUGCAAACUGGGAGCAAACCAGCUUCACAUAUCUAAACUAAUCCGACAACUGUUUGUAAAAAGAAAUAAGAAAGCAAUCAAAUUUGACACAUAAAAGAACACAAACUUUUGAAGAUUACUACUUAUUUACUCUUUGGUGAAGCCUACCUGAUGGCUGAUGGGCAUAGUUUUGAUAUGACUUGAUCUCCAUUUUUGUUUCGAUAAAGAUGACUUGAUCUCCAUGAUCCCAAGAUUAUACGCAAGAACAUUGGUGAUUGAAUGAUCCUUAUCUCCGAGAGCACACCAGAUCCAUGCCCAAACAGACUUGCGGGGGAGAGAGAAGGCAUGGAGUUGAUGGAAAGAUUAU
rnacentral:lncRNA from 1 species